UACGAAGGGGGCUAGCGUUGAUCGGAAUCACUGGGCGUAAAGCGCACGUAGGCGGCUUUUUAAGUCAGGGGUGAAAUCCUGGAGCUCAACUCCAGAACUGCCUUUGAUACUGGCGAUCUUGAGUCCGGGAGAGGUGAGUGGAACUGCGAGUGUAGAGGUGAAAUUCGUAGAUAUUCGCAAGAACACCAGUGGCGAAGGCGGCUCACUGGCCCGGUACUGACGCUGAGACGCGAAAGCGUGGGGAGCAAACAGG
rnacentral:rRNA from 1 species